ACUCACUCAUGGGGGUGGACCUUCCCAUACACACUGCAGGGAGUUCUCCCUCAGCAUCUACCAGAUCAGGGUGAAGAACUCUCAGCUCCUCCAUCCCAGUGUCUGGAUGCUGCCAUGAUGAUAACGGACUAAACUGAAACACCGGAUGCCUGGCUAGUUAAGUCCCUUUACGUGUCACAGGGGACCUGGAGAAGAGAACAAAGAGGGCAGCGCUACAGACACGGACUUGGAAAGACUGACGUUGACAGAUCUGACAGAGGCCAUGGGCUCCACGGUUUGCCAGCG
rnacentral:lncRNA from 1 species